rnacentral:rRNA from 1 species
AACGAACGCUGGCGGCAGGCCUAAUACAUGCAAGUCGAACGCCGUAGCAAUACGGAGUGGCAGACGGGUGAGUAACGCGUGGGAACCUUCCUAAUGGUACGGAAUAGCCCGGGGAAACCCGGAGUAAUACCGUAUAAGCCCGUAAGGGGAAAGAUUUAUCGCCAUUAGAUGGGCCCGCGUCGGAUUAGCUAGUUGGUAGGGUAACGGCCUACCAAGGCUACGAUCCGUAGCUGGUCUGAGAGGAUGAUCAGCCACACUGGGACUGAGACACGGCCCAGACUCCUACGGGAGGCAGCAGUAGGGAAUAUUGGACAAUGGGCGAAAGCUGAUCCAGCCAUGCCGCGUGAGUGAUGAA